rnacentral:rRNA from 1 species
AGAAUUUUAAUGGUCGAACAGACCAACCCUCAAAGGCUUCUACACCUUUUGGAUAUUCUGGUCCAACAUCGAGGUCACAAACCUUUUUUUCGAUAAGAACUCUCAAAAAAGAUUAUGCUGUUAUCCCCACGGUAACUAAUUCCUUUAAUCAUAAAGUAUGGAUCAACACCUGUAAGUAAGUUUUUAAUAAGAAGCUUUUUUUGUUCCUUAGUCGCCCCAACCAAAAUCUUUAACAAUUAGUUUUAUAUAAAUAUAGAACUUAAAAUGUUAAUUUUUUUUAAGCUCGAUGGGGUCUUCUCGUCUUUUAAUUUAACUUAGGCUUCUUCACCUAAAUAUAAAAUUCUAUAAAAUUAAAAAGAGACAGUUAUACUCUUGUCAAACCAUUCAUUCCAGUCCCCAAUUAUAGGACAAAUUAUUAUGCUACCUUUGCACAGUCAGGGUACUGCGGCCGUUAAAAUAUUCACCGGGCAGGUCAGACUCUUUAUAUAAAAAUAUCAAAGAGCC